GGUCUGUGGCUCAGUGGUAGAACACUCAUCUGGCACUUGUGAGGCACUGGGUUCAAUCCUCAGCACCA
rnacentral:tRNA from 1 species